rnacentral:misc_RNA from 1 species
GAUGAAGAACGCAGCGAAAUGCGAUAAGUAAUGUGAGUUGCAGAAUUCAGUGAAUCAUCGAAUCUUUGAACGCACAUUGCGCCCGCCAGUAUUCUGGCGGGCAUGCCUGUCCGAGCGUCAUUUCAACCCUCGCGCCCAUCUGGGCUGCGGUGUUGGGGAUCGGCCUGCCCCCCCGGGGCGCGCCGCCCCCCAAAUUCAGUGGCGGUCUCGCUGCAGCCUCCCUUGCGUAGUAGCACACCUCGCACCGGAGCGCAGCGCGGCCACGCCGUAAAACCCCCGACCCCCAUGAGUUUGACCUCGGAUCAGGUAGGAAUACCCGCUGAACUUAAGCAUAUCAAUAAGCGGAGGA